UACGGGGGGGGCAAGCGUUGUUCGGAUUUACUGGGCGUAAAGGGAGCGUAGGCUGUCGGUCAAGUCCGGUGUGAAACCCUUACCGCUUACCGGAAGGACGGCACUGGAUACUGGCCGGCUAGAGUGGGGUAGAGGCAAGCGGAAUUCCUGGUGUAGCGGUGGAAUGUGCAGAUAUCAGGAAGAACAUCUGUGGCGAAGGCGGCUUGCUGGGCCCUUACUGACGCUGAGGCUCGAAAGCGUGGGGAGCAAA
rnacentral:rRNA from 1 species